rnacentral:lncRNA from 1 species
UACAUGAGGAAUUAUUCCACCUGCUUUGAGGUGGACCUCCUUUUGGCUCUGCAGCGCUUCUCCCAGCACCGUGCCCGCCUCGUCCAGCACCGCCGCGCCCGUGUCGUCACAGCUGGUUUCGAUGCCCAGCACAAGUCUCGGGGGCCUCACAUGGCGCGGGGGGCCGCUCAGCCCUGCGGCCAUGCUGUGCCUCACGGGCUGCAGGAAGCGCAGGGCCGUGCUGCCCAUGGGCAGCAGCUGGGCUCGUGGGGACGCCUGGAAAGGAGCUCCGCGUGUUCCUUGUGCCGUUCUGCUGCCCGAGACUUGAUGUGUAAAAGCCUGCAAAGGGGGCGCGGCGCAGUAACCGCCGGGGGCGGCUCGACC